rnacentral:rRNA from 1 species
AAUGCGUAGGAAUCUACCUAGUAGUACGGAAUAGCCAUUAGAAAUGGUGGGUAAUACUGUAUAAUCCCCGAGGGGGAAAGAUUUAUCGCUAUUAGAUGAGCCUACGUUAGAUUAGCUAGUUGGUGAGGUAAUGGCUUACCAAGGCUAUGAUCUAUAGCUGGUCUGAGAGGACGAUCAGCCACACUGGAACUGAGAUACGGUCCAGACUCCUACGGGAGGCAGCAGUGGGGAAUAUUGGACAAUGGGCGAAAGCCUGAUCCAGCUAUGCCGCGUGAGUGAAGAAGGCCUUCGGGUUGUAAAACUCUUUC